UACGUAGGGUGCAAGCGUUUGUCCGGAAUUAUUGGGCGUAAAGAGCUCGUAGGCGGCCUGUUGCGUCGGUUGUGAAAGCCCGGGGCUUAACCCCGGGUCUGCAGUCGAUACGGGCAGGCUAGAGUUCGGUAGGGGAGAUCGGAAUUCCUGGUGUAGCGGUGAAAUGACGCAGAUAUCAGGAGGAACACCGGUGGCGAAGGCGGAUCUCUGGGCCGAUACUGACGCUGAGGAGCGAAAGCGUGGGGAGCGAACAGG
rnacentral:rRNA from 1 species